rnacentral:rRNA from 1 species
AUUGAACGCUGGCGGCAGGCCUAACACAUGCAAGUCGAGCGGAGCGGCGGACGGGUGAGUAAUGUAUGGGGAUCUGCCCGAUAGAGGGGGAUAACUACUGGAAACGGUGGCUAAUACCGCAUAUUGUCGGAUGAACCCAUAUCGGAUUAGCUAGUUGGUGAGGUAACGGCUCACCAAGGCGACGAUCCGUAGCUGGUUUGAGAGGACGACCAGCAACACUGGGACGGAGACACGGCCCAGACUCCUACGGGAGGCAGCAGUGGGGAAUUUUGGACAAUGGGGGCAACCCUGAUCCAGCCAUCCCGCGUGUGCGAUGAAGGCCUUCGGGUUGUAAAGCACUUUUGGCAGGAAAGCGGUACCUGCAGAAUAAGCACCGGCUAACUACGUGCCAGCAGCCGCGGUAAUAC